rnacentral:rRNA from 1 species
GACAUGCAAGUGGUAGGAAGCCGAAGGUGACGACCCUUCGGGAGCUUGCACAGGUGCUGCAUGGCUGUCGUCAGCUCGUGUCGUGAGAUGUUCGGUUAAGUCCGCUAACGAGCGCAACCCUCGCUGUGUGUUAUAUGUGUCACACGGGACUGCCGGUCUUAAGCCGGAGGAAGGUGGGGAUGAUGUCAAGUCAGCAUGGCCUUUAUAUCCUGGGCUACACACACGCCACAAUGGCCAACACAAUAGGUUGCUAAGCCGCGAGGUGGCGCCAAUCCAUAAAGUUGGUCUCAGUUCAGAUUGUAGGCUGCAACCCGCCUGCAUGAAGAUGGAGUUGCUAGUAACCGCAGGUCAGCUAUACUGCGGUGAAUACGUUCCCGGGGCUU